GACCACGGUGGCUCAGUUGGCAGAGCAUUGGGCUAGUAUUCCAAAGGUCGUAGGUUCGAUUCCCACCGCGGUCA